rnacentral:rRNA from 1 species
ACCCGCUGAACUUAAGCAUAUCAGUAAGCGGAGGAAAAGAAACUAACUAGGAUUCCCCGAGUAGCGGCGAGCGAAAGGGGAGAAGCCCAGCGCCGAAGCCCGCGUGCUCACGCGCGCAGUGCAAUGUGGCGUUUCGGUGGCGGCUCGCCGCGACUUCUCUGGCACGCGUACCUCUGAAUGGGUCUGCCCGCAGCGGGUGUCAGGCCUCUACUUGCCGAGUGAGUCGUCGCGGCCCGUCGUCAUCGCGGAGUCGGGUUGCUUGAGAGUGCAGCCCAAAGUGGGUGGUAAGCUCCAUCUAAGGCUAAAUACCUAGUGCGAGACCGAUAGCAAACAAGUACCGUGAGGGAAAGUUGCAAAGAACUUUGAAAAGAGAGUUCAAGAGUACGUGAAACCGUUCAGAGGCAAACGGACGGAACUGGGCGAGUUCGCCGUCGUCAUUCAGCCGUCGCCCCCGGGCGGCGGUGCACUUGGCGGCGGCGGAGCGCGACGACCGCCUGCCCGGGUCGUCGGAAGCCCGGCGGCAAGGUGGCGACGCGUUCGCGCGUCGUGUUACAGGCCGCCGAGGCGUUGGCUGACCUGGCGGGCGAGGAGCGCCUGCGGUGCACUCCCCCGCGCGGGGAGUGGCUCGACGCGGUGGGCUUGCGGACGCCGGCGACGAACUGCUCGCAGUUUGAUGUCGCGCGCUCCGUCUGUCGCGCCGCGCGGUGCCACGGGGCACCCAGGGUCCGGGUCGUGUGGUUCCUGGCACUCCGUCCGACCCGUCUUGAAACACGGACCAAGGAGUUGAGCACGCGCGCGAGUCGAUGGGCUCUACGAACCCCAGUGGCGCAGCUAAGGCAAAACGGGCGUGAUCCGGCACUGGCGUGUCGGCGCAACGCCGGCCCGCAGCCGACUCGAUGCGAGUGGCUGCGGCGCAAGAGCGCGCGUGCUCAGACCCGAAAGGUGGUGAACUAUGCUUGAGCAGGGCGAAGCCAGAGGAAACUCUGGUGGAGGCUCGCAGCGAUCCUGACGUGCAAAUCGGUCGUCAAACUUGAGCAUAGGGGCGAAAGACUAAUCGAACCGCCUAGUAGCUGGUUCCCUCCGAAGUUUCCCUCAGGAUAGCUGGCACUCGGGAUAAAUGGUUUUAUCCGGUAAAGCGAAUGAUUAGAGGCAUUGGGGACGAAACGUCCUCAACCUAUUCUCAAACUUUAAAUGGGUAAGAGGCGCGACCCUUCCUGAUCGGGGUCGCGUGCUUGAACAGAGAGUGCCCAGUGGGCCGUUUUUGGUAAGCAGAACUGGCGCUGUGGGAUGAACCAAACGCGCGGUUAGGGUGCCUAACGCACGCUCAUGAGAUACCACAAAAGGUGUUGGUUGAUAUAGACAGCAGGACGGUGGCCAUGGAAGUCGGAAUCCGCUAAGGAGUGUGUAACAACUCACCUGCCGAAUCAACUAGCCCUGAAAAUGGAUGGCGCUGGAGCGUGCGACCCAUACCGCGCCGUCGGGGCAACGCGUGCGAAAUGCCAGGCCCCGACGAGUAGGAGGGCGUGUCGGUGGCGUUGAAGCGUAGUGCGCGAGCACGCGUGGAGCCGCCUUCAGUGCAGAUCUUGGUGGUAGUAGCAAGUAUACAAAUGAGAACUUUGUAGACCGAAGUGGAGAAGGGUUCCAUGUGAACAGCAGUUGGACAUGGGUCAGUCGGCCCUAAGAGAUCGGAGAAUUCCGUUCUGAACGGGGAGUGAAGACGCGCACUCCGAGCAGGCGGUGAGCGGCGGCCCGGCGUUCGUCUGAACCAGGUGGCAGAGCGGCGCGCGAGGCCGACCGCACGAGCAAUCACCGACCUCUCACACACACAACGUGCACGCACGCACGCGCCACGCGGUGGCGAAAAGGGUGCGCGGAAGGGUCGCCCCGAUGCGAUCGAAAGGGAAUCGGGUUAAUAUUCCCGAACCUGGCAGUGGAGAUUGGGCCCUCGGGCCCCAGUGCGGUAACGCAACCGAACUCGGAGACGCCAGCGUCGAUCCCGGGAAGAGUUCUCUUUUCUUUGUUAGGAGCGGACUCCCUGGAAUUGGCUUGUCCAGAGAUAGGGACGUUGCAUCCGUAAAGCGUCGCGCCUCACGCGGCGUCCGGUGCAUCGGCGUUGGCCCUUGAAAAUCCGAGGAAGGCAGUGUAAUUUUCACUCCAGGCCGUACCCGAAUCCGCAGCAGGUCUCCAAGGUGCACAGCCUCUGGUCGAUAGAACAAUGUAGGUAAGGGAAGUCGGCAAAUCCGAUCCGUAACUUCGGGAUAAGGAUUGGCUCUGAGGUGCGGGCUGCUUCGGGUCGCGGCAAGAAGCGGACCGCGCGUUGGCUGGACUGGGCGCGCCUCGGCGCGCUCGGACCGCCGCCAGCGCGCGUCCGUGGGAGGCCGUGGCUUUCGCCGGCGUCGGCCUGUGCCGGCGUCGGCUUCGUUCGGCCUAAACGCACAGCACAGAACUGGCACGGACUCUGGGAACACGACUGUCUAAUUAAAACAAAGCAUCGCGAUGGCCGCUGGUCGGUGUUGACGCGAUGUGAUUUCUGCCCAGUGCUUUGAAUGUCAAAGUGAAGAAAUUCAACCAAGCGCAGGUAAACGGCGGGAGUAACUAUGACUCUCUUAAGGUAGCCAAAUGCCUCGUCAUCUAAUUAGUGACGCGCAUGAAUGGAUUAACGAUGUUCCCACUGUCCCUAUCUACUAUCUAGCGAAACCACAGCCAAGGGAACGGGCUUGGCAAAUACAGCGGGGAAAG